UACGUAGGGGGCAAGCGUUGUCCGGAAUCAUUGGGCGUAAAGCGCGCGUAGGCGGCCCGGUAAGUCCGUUGUGAAAGUCAAAGGCUCAACCUUUGAACGCCGAUGGAUACUGCCGGGCUAGAGUCCGGAAGGGGCGAGUGGAAUUCCUGGUGUAGCGGUGAAAUGCGCAGAUAUCAGGAGGAACACCAAUGGCGAAGGCAGCUCGCUGGGACGGUACUGACGCUGAGGCGCGAAAGCGUGGGGAGCGAACAGG
rnacentral:rRNA from 1 species